AGGCAUAUGGUGUAGUUGGUUAUCAUGCUCGCUUAGCAUGCAUCCAGUGUGAAGUGAGUCUGCGAGAGGUGUUGCGUUCAAUUCCCAAUGUGUUCA